GCUGAAUCACCAUGACAGGAGAGUGUUUCCAUGCGAGCGAACACAAUCCAUGGCGGCUGCUUAGUUACAAAUAGCGUGGAAGGGACAUUCCUCCAGUCAGUAGCAAGGAAGCUCCGUCAAAGAGUGGUCGACGGGUCUCCGUGGGUUUCUUCCUCCUAAAGUCGUUCCUUUCGAGUUCUUAACCAUAUGGGGAGUUAAUUGAAGGUCGGGACGCAAGUCGGGAGCAGCAGUCGGGAAGGAACUGCACUUGGGGUUGGUGAGGAAGGACCUGUUAGAAAGUCGGAGAGGUCGAUCGCCACCGAUUAGGAUGCGACGGAAGGUUGUGAAGAAGGUGCUGUCGGUCGAGCAGGCGGAGGGGCGUGGCGCGCGCGUGAGGAGGAGCAUCGGGCGAAAGGAGGUGAGUCUGAGGAGGAAAAAAAAAAGGAGGUGA